AUUGAACGCUGGCGGCAGGCCUAACACAUGCAAGUCGAGCGGAUGAAGGGAGCUUGCUCCUGGAUUCAGCGGCGGACGGGUGAGUAAUGCCUAGGAAUCUGCCUGGUAGUGGGGGAUAACGUCCGGAAACGGGCGCUAAUACCGCAUACGUCCUGAGGGAGAAAGUGGGGGAUCUUCGGACCCCACGCUAUCAGAUGAGCCUAGGUCGGAUUAGCUAGUUGGUGGGGUAAAGGCCUACCAAGGCGGCGAUCCGUAACUGGUCUGAGAGGAUGAUCAGUCACACUGGAACUGAGACACGGUCCAGACUCCUACGGGAGGCAGCGGUGGGGAAUAUUGGACAAUGGGCGAAAGCCUGAUCCAGCCAUGCCGCGUGUGUGAAGAAGGUCUUCGGAUUGUAAAGCACUUUAAGUUGGGAGGAAGGGCAGUAAGUUAAUACCUUGCUGUUUUGACGUUACCAACAGAAUAAGCACCGGCUAACUUCGUG
rnacentral:rRNA from 1 species